rnacentral:rRNA from 1 species
AUUGAACGCUGGCGGCAGGCUUAACACAUGCAAGUCGAGCGGAGUGAUGGUGCUUGCACUAUCACUUAGCGGCGGACGGGUGAGUAAUGCUUAGGAAUCUGCCUAUUAGUGGGGGACAACAUCUCGAAAGGGAUGCUAAUACCGCAUACGUCCUACGGGAGAAAGCAGGGGAUCACUUGUGACCUUGCGCUAAUAGAUGAGCCUAAGUCGGAUUAGCUAGUUGGUGGGGUAAAGGCCUACCAAGGCGACGAUCUGUAGCGGGUCUGAGAGGAUGAUCCGCCACACGUGGACUGAGACACGGCGCAGACUCCUACGGGAGGCAGCAGGGGGGAAUAUUGGACAAUGGGGGGGACCCUGAUCCAGCCAUGCCGCGUGUGUGAAGAAGGCCUUAUGGUUGUAAAGCACUUUAAGCGAGGAGGAGGCUCUUUUGGUUAAUACCCAAGAUGAGUGGACGUUACUCGCAGAAUAAGCACCGGCUAACUCUGUGCCAGCAGCCGCGGUAA